rnacentral:rRNA from 1 species
AGAUUGAACGCUGGCGGCAUGCCUAACACAUGCAAGUCGAACGGGAGUAGCAAUACUCUAGUGGCGGACGGGUGAGGAAUACGUAGGAAUUUGCCCUUAAGUGGGGGAUAACCCGGGGAAACCCGGAUUAAUACCGCAUGACCUCGAAAGAGCAAAGUGGGGGAUCGCAAGACCUCACGCUUUUGGAGAAGCCUACGUCGGAUUAGCUAGUUGGUGAGGUAAUGGCUCACCAAGGCGACGAUCCGUAAACUGGUACUGAGAGGAUGAUCAGUCACACCGGAACUGAGACACGUCCGGACUCCUACGGGAGCAGCAGUGGGGAAUAGUUGGGAACAAGUGGGCGACGAAGCCUGAUCCAGGCAAGUGCCGACGUGUGUGAAG